UACGUGAACUGCUGGCAGGCCUAAACAUGCAAGUCGAGGGGUAACAGAAUAGCUUGCUAUUGCUGACGACCGGCGCACGGGUGCGUAACGCGUAUACAAUCUACCUUAUACAGGAGGAUAGCCCUAAGAAAUUGGGAUUAAUACUCCAUAGUAAUUUGAAUUCGCAUGAAUUUAAGUUUAAAACUUCGGUGGUAUAAGAUGAGUAUGCGUGAUAUUAGCUAGUUGGUAAGGUAACGGCUUACCAAGGCGACGAUAUCUAGGGGGCCUGAGAGGGUUAUCCCCCACACUGGUACUGAGACACGGACCAGACUCCUACGGGAGGCAGCAGUGAGGAAUAUUGGUCAAUGGAGGCAACUCUGAACCAGCCAUGCCGCGUGAAGGAAGAAUGUCCUAUGGAUUGUAAACUUCUUUUAUUUGGGAAGAAACCUACCCACGUGUGGGUAGCUGACGGUACCAAAAGAAUAAGGACCGGCUAACUCCGUGCCAGCAGCCGCGGUAAUACGGAGGGUCCAAGCGUUAUCCGGAAUCAUUGAGUUUAAAGGGUUCGCAGGCGGUUUAUUAAGUCAGUGGUGAAAUCUCGGGGCUCAACUCCGAAACUGCCAUUGAUACUGAUAGACUUGAAUAUAGUUGGAGUAGGCGAAAUGUGUAGUGUAGCGGUGAAAUGCUUAGAUAUUACACAGAACACCGAUAGCGAAGGCAGCUUACUAAACUAUUAUUGACGCUCAUGAACGAAAGCGUGGGGAGCGAACAGGAUUAGAUACCCUGGUAGUCCACGCCGUAUCUAUGAUUACUCGAUAUUGGCGAUACACAGUCAGUGUCUAAGCGAAAGUGAUAGUAAUCCACCUGGGGAGUACGGUCCGCAAGAUUGAAACUCAAGGAACUGACGG
rnacentral:rRNA from 1 species